rnacentral:sRNA from 12 species
UCUGGUAGCCCAGAACUACAAGCCAGAUUACCAGCACAUUAUUUAGGUUUAUUUUAAGUCAUAAAAACAGAAGCCUCAUUCGUGAUGCUUCGGUGAAUUGAAUGUAAAAUGGCUACUUUGC